rnacentral:rRNA from 1 species
AACGAACGCUGGCGGCAUGCCUAACACAUGCAAGUCGAACGAGACCUUCGGGUCUAGUGGCGCACGGGUGCGUAACGCGUGGGAAUUUGCCUCGGGGUACGGAAUAACUCAGGGAAACUUGAGCUAAUACCGUAUGAUGUCUUCGGACCAAAGAUUUAUCGCCCUGAGAUAAGCCCGCGUAGGAUUAGCUAGUUGGUGAGGUAAGAGCUCACCAAGGCGACGAUCCUUAGCUGGUCUGAGAGGAUGAUCAGCCACACUGGGACUGAGACACGGCCCAGACUCCUACGGGAGGCAGCAGUGGGGAAUAUUGGACAAUGGGCGAAAGCCUGAUCCAGCAAUGCCGCGUGAGUGAUGAAGGCC